AUACGGGGGGGGCAAGCGUUGUCCGGAAUCAUUGGGCGUAAAGGGCGCGUAGGCGGAAUAGUAAGUCAGGGGUGAAAAUUCUGAGCUUAACUCAGUACCUGCCCUUGAUACUGCUAUUCUUGAGUUCGAGAGGGGAAAGUGGAAUUCCCGGUGUAGCGGUGAAAUGCGUAGAUAUCGGGAAGAACACCAGUAGCGAAGGCGGCUUUCUGGGCCUUACCUGACGCUGAGACGCGAAAGCGUGGGGAGCGAACCGGAUUAGAUACCCCGGUAGUCC
rnacentral:rRNA from 1 species